GAUGAAGAACGUAGCGAAAUGCGAUAAGUAGUGUGAAUUGCAGAAUUCAGUGAAUCUUCGAAUCUUUGAACGCACAUUGCGCCCCUUGGUAUUCCAUGGGGCAUGCCUGUUCGAGCGUCAUUUGUACCUUCAAGCUCUGCUUGGUGUUGGGUGUUUGUCUCGCCUCUGCGUGUAGACUCGCCUCAAAACAAUUGGCAGCCGGCGUAUUGAUUUCGGAGCGCAGUACAUCUCGCGCUUUGCACUCAUAACGACGACGUCCAAAAGUACAUUUUUACACUCUUGACCUCGGAUCAGGUAGGGAUACCCGCUGAACUUAAGCAUAUCAAUAAGCGGAGGA
rnacentral:misc_RNA from 1 species